AUCCGUAUAUUAUCGAUGGAUGUGUCCUAUUGAAAGAUAAAAAAAUUGUAAUCUCUUCAUCAUAUCAGUUAUAAGAUGUAAAUAUAUUAGUUAAAUUUAAAUUUAUUUUUAUUUGUAGAUUCUUGUGUAUUCUAAAAAAGUAUGUGCACAAUAAGGCAUAGCUUGAAGGGUCUAUAGCGGAAGCAUACAUAGUUACAGAGUG
rnacentral:lncRNA from 1 species